rnacentral:tRNA from 2 species
UGGGGCGUGGCCAAGUGGUAAGGCAACGGGUUUUGGUCCCGCUAUUCGGAGGUUCGAACCCUUCCGUCCCAG